GUAUAUAGCGUUCGGUAUUACUGGCAUCAUCGUUUCGCUGAUGCCACCAAGACCAUUAUCGGUCUCUGAACCGCUUUGACAGUUUAGUGCCAAAGGUCACAGCCUCCAGAACAAUUCUGAGCUUAAUCAUAAUGGAGCACGUGGCCCGGAGUUGCGUUGCUUACAUGUGUGUAUAUCACGUUAAACUUCACAGAGAGACAUGUCGUAAAUUAUUAUAUGUAUACCCGCGUCAAAAUAAUAAACGUGCGUCGUUAAAUACGUCGUCCGAUCUCGAGGCACGCCAGCUCGUUUUAUUUUCUAUAUGUAAAUCGAAUUUUGCGGAUGAGAGAAAGAUCUGAUUUUAUCAACGAGUUCAUGCGGUAUCUGAUACAAAUCGUAUAUUACCCGGAAGAAUAAAAAUGAAGAAGACACGUAGUACUUGCGAGGCGGGCUCUUUAUCGUGCACGAUAUACGUCGUAAAAUUAUGCUUACGAUAGUGGGACUUGUAUUACGUUUAUCAAGAACGUGUAUCUCGUCGAUUUAUUCGAAACAAAUGUCUCAAGCUGCUCCCAUGGAAUACGUGCGAAUCGAUCAGCGCGAUCUGUAUACAUGUAUGUAGUAUACGAAAUAGUUGGAACGUAUAGAUAAUUGCGAUUGGUAUUGAAGAAAGUUAAAUUUGCUUCGUUAUUCUCUACCGGAACCCAGCUUCAUUUCAUUUCCGUUCGGCUAUCACGUCCCCCUAUGCAAAACCGUUUCAAAUAUUCUCCCCUUCGUGAUCACGGGCGCACAAAUAUACAUAUAUGUAUACGAUGCCACGUAAAGGUCACUGACUGAGAGAUUGCCGGAGACAUCUGACUGACAAGAACAUCACGAAUCGUCGCCAUUCUACGUUCGAUAUUAUUAAGUUGUUGUACAAUAGAAAGAAAAAAUAAAAAAAAAAAUAAUUUUUGUCAAAGGCAUUUCGAUGCGUUUUUUUGUUUCGUUGCAUCCUCUUUCUCUUUUCUUUAUUGGACCGGUAUUUAGAUAACCUCGUAUAUUAUCUUCCUGCGCCGUAAAAUCUAACAAAAUAUAUAAUAUACAAUUUUUUAGACCGGAGAUAACAACGUUAACUCGUCGGCAGUUUGUUGGUCUUUUUGUGAUUUCUGUAAAAAAAAAAAAAAUAAAAAAAUAAUUCAUCCAAUUCGUAUGUAUAUUCGCGCGUUUGAAAAAUCUUAUUUCUUUUUUAGUCGGUGAAAAGAGAUUGCGGCAGAGUAUCUACAGCGGACGGCUUUCCUAUAGAGAGCGCAUAACUGACGUAUAUCUACAAAUUUCCGUCAGCGUAUUUGCAAAACGAUAACCAAAUGGGAUAAAACGGGGUUAAUUAAUCGCGUUAUUUGAACUGCAUAAGCGAUUCAGAGUAGGUACGCGUACCUAACGCAUUUCUAAUAGCAGUUAACCACCUGGUUCGAUAAAAUACGUUAACGUAUGCACGUGCGUUCACCAGGCAGCGAACGGUGUUGCAUAUUUUUCAAAUAAUGACCGUAAUAAUGUUGAUUGAAAUUUUUGCGGAAACCGAUCGUUUUUAUGAUCGAUUGAAAAUCACCGUUCUCCAAUGAGGAUUUACUCGCAUUUUUUUUCUCCUUUUAUGGCUAAAAAUGUGGAGCGAUAAAGGAAUGUUUUUAAGCAGCGGCGGGAGGUACGUACAAUCGAAUUCGAAACGCUGACGGUGCAGGACCCGGAGGAAGCGGCUCACGAAACCAGAUCGAGUUAACUUUGUUUCGGACGACACAUCUGCCUCCGGAGAAGAAAAUUCCGUUGUGCGUGUCGAGCGAACACCGCUUACGACGUCCUUGGAUUCGCACAACCUCUUUUCGGCUCCCCGUUUGCUCGAUAUAUCGGGAUCAAAAUAGAUGGGUUUCGGGUGUUCUGCACCGCAGGAGCGAAAACGAACUUCGUCGGAGGCUCUUCUGACUUAGGAACGUAACGAGCUCAAGGCUGUGAGUGCGCAACCGAACUUUCAGGCAGCCUGCGCGUUCCUCCGUUCGGGUAGGUAUGUGUAUACCUGUGGAAAACCACGAUCACGAGUAUCUGGACUUACCGCAAGCGAGCGAGACCGGCUACGACUGCAUAGCGCGAGCGACUCCAAACUACAAGAAGUCU